AUUGAACGCUGGCGGCAUGCUUUACACAUGCAAGUCGAACGGUAACAGGGUGCUUGCACCGCUGACGAGUGGCGAACGGGUGAGUAAUGCGUCGGAACGUGCCGAGUAGUGGGGGAUAACGCAGCGAAAGUUGUGCUAAUACCGCAUACGUCCUGAGGUAGAAAGUGGGGGACCUUCGGGCCUCACGCUAUUCGAGCGGCCGACGUCUGAUUAGCGAGUAGGUGAGGUAAAGGCUCACCUAGGCGACGAUCAGUAGCGGGUCUGAGAGGAUGAUCCGCCACACUGGGCCUGAGACACGGCCCAGGCUCCUACGGGAGGCAGCAGGGGGGAAUUUUGGACAAUGGGCGAAGGCCUGAUCCAGCCAUGCCGCGGGUCUGAAGAAGGCCUUCGGGUUGUAAAGGACUUUUGUCGGGGAGGAAAUCCCCAGCGUUAAUACCGCUGGGGGAUGACAGUACCUGAAGAAUAAGCACCGGCUAACUACGUGACAGCAGCCGCGGUAACAC
rnacentral:rRNA from 1 species